rnacentral:lncRNA from 1 species
AUGCUCCAAAAUGCAUCUUCUUGCCUACUUUGUCCUUAAAAUCUGAAAACACACGAAAAAUGACUUUAAACAUUAAAAAUAACUAAGGAAACACGACAUAAAUGCACAAAGAACAAGCCAACUAAGUCGCAUAAAUAUGCUCCAAUCAAAUUCCCCCACACUUAGCUUUUGCUAGUCCUCGAGCAAACAAAGAAAUAAAACGAAACAAAACAAAUACAACACAAUCUUGAUAGGAGCAUACUUAUGCGCCUUAGUUAGCUAGUUCUUAUGCAUUUUCGUUAUGUUUUCUGCGUUAAAGUAGUCUUUUGAGCUACUUUCAUGUGUUUUCAGGUUCAAAGGGGCAUAAUACAUAAAAGAUGGCAAAAUGGAGCAUGUUAGAGCAAAAGUGAGCUUGGAUUGAAAAGUACAUGCUUGGAGCACAAGGAAUGGACGAGUUUGAAGGUCAAGGGAGCUUAAGAAAUGAAGAAAUGAAAGUGAAGAACAAAGAAUUCAGAAUUAGAAACCAAAGUUUCUAAAGUUGGAAGUUUCUAUUCUCGGAGGUUUCCAUUUGUGAGAGUUUCUAUUCUUGGCUUUGGGCUUCUAGAUGACCCAUCCUUACCUCUUGGACAAGGCCGCACCUUCCUAGCCCAAUUCAUCUUGGAUCCUCACUUAAUGCCGCACCUAAACCCUAGCCCAUUGCAUAUUUCUGACUUCUAAGCCUUAGCCGCACCCUAGGCCUCAUUCCCAUUAAAAAUCUGAUUGUUUAACCUAAUUUAUGAUGAAUUUGGGCUUCUAAAAACCCUAACCUGAUUUACUAGGGUUUUUGGGUGCCUAUAUAUACUUGUUAAACCUUUUGGCCGAAUCAUCACCCCCCAUAUCAUUCAUUCACGCCAAAAACCCUAGUUCUCUCCCUGCCGCAACCUUCCACCCCCAAACUCCCAUAUUUCUGCCACAAUUCACCCUUGCCGCACCAUCCCCUUCCCCAACCUAUUACUACAUCCUUCCACCACCAUUCAUCCACCUUGUGCAGCCACCAUUGAAGGAGAGAAAGGACUAGUGCCGUGCAGCCCAAAGGAGGAAGACACCUUGCACAUGCAAUCUGCCAUUAGUGGAGUGUUUGGAGUUCUUUCUUCCCUUGUUUCUGUUUUCAUGUUUAAUUUAAUUUGCUUUUCAAUUAUGUUAAACAUGUGAAACUAAUUUCUUUUUAGUUAGAGGUGAAUUUGAAGCCAUGGACAUAUGUUUUACAUGAUUUGAUUUCUUCCAAUUAUGAUUUCAGAAAUUGUGAAUGUGAUUUACUUAU